UGAUUAUGUUUUGAUCAUUAUGCACUUUCUGUGCUGGCAAUUUUUGAUAAGCCGAUUCUAUGUUGUUAAUCAAAAUAUGUCGAUUGUAUGUCGGUAGUUGUGGAAGUCCGAAUAGCCAUCGAUCGAUAAUUCUGAUAUGCCGAUGAUUAUCGAUCUAAAAUCAAUCAAAUUGUCAUAGCUAAAAUUUAUUGAUGGUUAAAAUAUAAUCGACUAUCAGUUGAUUAAUCGAUUGAUAGUCGAUAAUUCAUAUUUAUGAGAUCUAUUAAAAAUUGGAUCGGGAGAAUUGGCUGAAUUGCCCCAAUAGAUUGGAUUACUUGGUGCUCGUCGUUGGAGAUAAAAGAGAAGGAUGGCAACGCGCCACAGAGCUGACAGACGGCCACGUGAGGCUCGCUUGCGUGGGAUUGUUUCUUUCUCUCUCCUCCUCUGCCAAAAAUAACCGGAUCUGCUCACUGUACAGAAUGUGGCAGAAACCGGGUUGGUGCCACCACUUUGUCCCGCAUCAAGAGGCGUGGAAAGUUGGAGAGGACAAUGCUUUUCCAUAGAACGUAAGAUUCUUUGCUAUGUUUCCACUGGGAAAAUAUAGUAUUGGAAUAAAUUAGUCCAACUAUAAUCAUUUAACUUACUUUCAGGAA
rnacentral:lncRNA from 1 species